rnacentral:rRNA from 1 species
UACGUGAGGGGCGAACGUUGUUCGGUGUCACUGGGCUUAAAGGGCGCGUAGGUGGCUGCGUAAGUAAGGUGUGAAAGCCCUCGGCUUACCCGGGGAAUUGCGCCUUAUACUGCGUGGCUUGAGGAUUUCAGGGGAAGGGGGAACUCCAGGUGUAGCGGUGAAAUGCGUAGAUAUUGGGAGGAACACCAGUGGCGAAGGCGGCUCACUGGACCGGUACUGACGCUGAUGCGCGAAAGCGUGGGGAGCAAACGGG